rnacentral:rRNA from 1 species
GACGAACGCUGGCGGCGUGCUUAACACAUGCGAGUCGAACGGAAAGGCCCUGCUUUUGUGGGGUGCUCGAGUGGCGAACGGGUGAGUAACACAUGAGUAACCUGCCCUUGACUUUGGGAUAACUUCAGGAAACUGGGGCUAAUACCGGAUAGGAGCUCCUGCUGCAUGGUGGGGGUUGGAAAGUUUCGGCGGUUGGGGAUGGACUCGCGGCUUAUCAGCUUGUUGGUGGGGUAGUGGCUUACCAAGGCUUUGACGGGUAGCCGGCCUGGGAGGGUGACCGGCCACAUUGGGACUGGGAUACGGCCCAGACUCCUACGGGAGGCAGCAGUGGGGAAUAUUGCACAAUGGGCGGAAGCCUGAUGCAGCAACGCCGCGUGCGGGAUGACGGCCUUCGGGUUGUAAACCGCUUUCGCCUGUGACGAAGCGUGAGUGACGGUAAUGGGUAAAGAAGCACCGGCUAACUACGUG